rnacentral:rRNA from 1 species
GACAGAGGGUGCAAACGUUGUUCGGAAUCACUGGGCGUAAAGGGUGCGUAGGCGGGUCUUUAAGUCAGGGGUGAAAUCCUGGAGCUCAACUCCAGAACUGCCUUUGAUACUGGCGAUCUUGAGUCCGGGAGAGGUGAGUGGAACUGCGAGUGUAGAGGUGAAAUUCGUAGAUAUUCGCAAGAACACCAGUGGCGAAGGCGGCUCACUGGCCCGGUACUGACGCUGAGGUGCGAAAGCGUGGGGAGCGAACAGG